GAUGAACGCUGGCGGCGUGCCUAAUACAUGCAAGUCGAGCGAACGGACGAGAAGCUUGCUUCUCUGAUGUUAGCGGCGGACGGGUGAGUAACACGUGGAUAACCUACCUAUAAUACUGGGAUAACUUCGGGAAACCGGAGCUAAUACCGGCUAAUAUUUUGAACCGCAUGGUUCAAAAGUGAAAGACGGUCUUGCUGUCACUUAUAGAUGGAUCCGCGCUGCAUUAGCUAGUUGGUAAGGUAACGGCUUACCAAGGCAACGAUGCAUAGCCGACCUGAGAGGGUGAUCGGCCACACUGGAACUGAGACACGGUCCAGACUCCUACGGGAGGCAGCAGUAGGGAAUCUUCCGCAAUGGGCGAAAGCCUGACGGAGCAACGCCGCGUGAGUGAUGAAGGUCUUCGGAUCGUAAAACUCUGUUAUUAGGGAAGAACAUAUGUGUAAGUAACUGUGCACAUCUUGACGGUACCUAAUCAGAAAGCCACGGCUAACUACGUG
rnacentral:rRNA from 1 species